rnacentral:rRNA from 1 species
AUUGGGGAAUCUUCCGCAAUGGGCGAAAGCCUGACGGAGCAAUGCCGCGUGGAGGAGGAAGGCCUGUGGGUCGUAAACUCCUUUUCUCAGAGAAGAAGUUCUGACGGUAUCUGAGGAAUAAGCAUCGGCUAACUCUGUGCCAGCAGCCGCGGUAAUACAGGGGAUGCAAGCGUUAUCCGGAAUUAUUGGGCGUAAAGCGUCCUGAGGUGGCUUACCCAGUCGACUGUGAAAGCUCAAGGCUUAACCUUGAAACGGCAGUCGAAACUUGUAAGCUUGAGUACGGUAGGGGCAGAGGGAAUUCCCGGAGGAGAGGUGAAAUUCGUAGAUAUCGGGAGGAAGGCCAAAGGCGAAAGCACUCUGCUGGGCCGAUUACUGACACUGACAGACGAAAGCUAGGGGAGCGAAAGGGAUUAGAUACCCCUGUAGUCAAU